rnacentral:rRNA from 1 species
UACAGAGGGUGCGAGCGUUAAUCGGAAUUACUGGGCGUAAAGCGUGCGUAGACGGUUCUGUAAGUCGGAUGUGAAAUCCCCGGGCUCAACCUGGGAAUUGCAUUCGAGACUGCAAAGCUUGGGUGCGGAAGAGGGAAGCGGAAUUUCCGGUGUAGCGGUGAAAUGCGUAGAUAUCAUUUGGAACGCCAAAGGUGAAAACAGACAGCUGGGGAUGUGCUGACGCUGAGACACGAAAGCCAGGGGAGCGAACGGG